rnacentral:rRNA from 1 species
UACGGGGGUGGCGAGCGUUACUCGGAUUUAUUGGGUGUAAAGGGCAGGUAGGCGUCCCGACAAGUUAGAAGUGAAAUCCUAAGGCUCAACCUUAGAACUGCUUUUAAAACUGUCGGGAUUGAGGCUGAGAGAGGAAAGCGGAAUUCCCGGUGUAAGGGUGAAAUCUGUAGAUAUCGGGAGGAACACCAGUGGCGAAAGCGGCUUUCUAGCUUAGCUCUGACGCUGAACUGCGAAAGCUCGGGGAG